rnacentral:piRNA from 1 species
UGAUGAAUUAUGUUUCUUGUUAGAAAG